AGAAAAAGGGGUUGGUGGUGGUUAGAAAUUUAGACUCACAGGUGGUCGUGCAAAUCGUCCAUUCAACACAGUAUAGGGUGUGUGUGCAGGAAUAUUUAGACGUUCCUUCAUCUACAGAAAUCAGCUAAUGCUUCAAAAGUUCUUUCACCGUUGUAAUUAGCUGAAAUUUGUGUCCCUGUGACUUUCACCAGUGUCUCCUGGUUGUGUCCUGGGGAGCCACCCAGAAUCUGUCUAAGCUGUUUUCCCUGAUCCAUACCUGCUUUUUUCUUUGAACUUCUUUAGCAUUUACUGUUGGCACCCCUCCAGGCAAUUAUCAUAAGUUACCCUGUAUUAUUAUUUAUUUCUCUUUAUAAGUAGAUCUUGUCUCCCCAUCCAGACAGUCUGGUCUACCCUCUUAUCUCUGAGCAGACUGUAUGUAAACCACAGUUUAGUAAAGAAUAUGAUUUGAAGAAGAGGGUGGAAGAUUUUGGAGCAACAUUUCUCCCAUUUGUUGCAUACAUGGAACAUCAGUCUGGCCACUACACCCAAGAGAGCCAGAGUCUCCCCUAUGCUUCCCGAAUGAAGGCAGAGGAAGACAGAAGGAAGAGAGAGAGAAGACAGAGGGCAAGUCUGGCUGAGCAGGCCUCCUCAGGCCCUUGAAGGCGGGCCGCCGACUUUGGGGAGAAUGAACCCAAAUGGGCCACCAGCCGAUCCCCAGAGGGAGUCCUGUCUCUGCCGCAGCACCAGCUCCAGCCCCACAAAUAGAUGCCAGCUC
rnacentral:lncRNA from 1 species